AUACGGAGGAUGCGAGCGUUAUCCGGAUUUAUUGGGUUUAAAGGGAGCGUAGGCGGGAGCUUAAGUCAGCGGUUAAAUGGUGCGGCUCAACCGUGCCCUGCCGUUGAGACUGGGUUUCUUGAGAGUGCAAGAGGCGGAUGGAAUUCAUGGUGUAGCGGUGAAAUGCUUAGAUAUCAUGAAGAACUCCGAUUGCGAAGGCAGUCCGCUGGGGCACGUCUGACGCUGAUGCUCGAAGGUGCGGGAAUCAAACAGGAUUAGAUACCCUGGUAGUCCGCACGGUAAACGAUGAUUGCCCGCUGUCGGCGGCAGACAGUCGGCGGCCAAGCGAAAGCGAUAAGUAAUCCACCUGGGGAGUACGCCGGCAACGGUGAAACUCAAAGGAAUUGACGGGG
rnacentral:rRNA from 1 species